AAACUAUCGUCUCAUCAACACGUAUAUAUAUCAUUUGUCUUUAAAUAUAAAAGUUAUAGAAGUCAAUCGUUUUAAACAGUUGUUGAAAAGUGCAACUUAAUUUGCACGACCCGAUAAAACUCGAUUGGUAGAAGAGGAAAGUUCUUUUUUACGAUGUUAUGACGUCGAUAAUUGCAUUGCAAAUGAAAGUUACUUUGGAAGAUCCAAGCUCUUUGGUGAAACGACACCUUCUUCAAGGACGACUCCUUGAAACUUUAGAAGAAACAAACUUCAAAGCAAUUUCUUUCACUGGUAUCUUCUCUCUUACGUCACGUGAUCAGUCCAAUGAAUGGCCGCAAGCGACACGAGCAAUGCAAUUAAGGAUCCAUCGAGCCGCGGCCAAUAUUCCUCCUCGAUCAACGCAUACAUAUCAAGUUACUAUGAUUUACAAGGAUCCUUGAGCGUAUCCUUUGAUAUCAUUCGUGAAUUUUUUAUGAUCCUUUUAACGGUUCCAUAAUCAAACAUUGGUCACUUUAUUUGAAUAAAUGAUCCAUCUAUGUGAAUCUAAAUGGCUAGAAACGAGCCUUCUUUUUUUCAUUUCGAAACAAUUCGAUAUCGUGAAACAACUUUGAAAAUAUUUUAAAAACAUAAACGUCAUAGUAGAUAGAUCGAAGGAUUCUAUUUUUUUUUUUUUUUUACUUAUCUAUUAAUUAUUACAGCUAAAUACUUAAAUCGAUUUUCAUUUAGUUACGUACGAUU